rnacentral:rRNA from 1 species
UACAGAGGGUGCAAGCGUUAAUCGGAAUUACUGGGCGUAAAGCGUGCGCAGGCGGUUAUGCAAGACAGAGGUGAAAUCCCCGGGCUCAACCUGGGAACUGCCUUUGUGACUGCAUGGCUAGAGUACGGUAGAGGGGGAUGGAAUUCCGCGUGUAGCAGUGAAAUGCGUAGAUAUGCGGAGGAACACCGAUGGCGAAGGCAAUCCCCUGGACCUGUACUGACGCUCAUGCACGAAAGCGUGGGGAGCAAACAGG